rnacentral:rRNA from 1 species
GACGAACGCUGGCGGCGUGCCUAAUACAUGCAAGUAGAACGCUGAAGGAGGAGCUUGCUCUUCUGGAUGAGUUGCGAACGGGUGAGUAACGCGUAGGUAACCUGCCUGGUAGCGGGGGAUAACUAUUGGAAACGAUAGCUAAUACCGCAUAACAGUAGAUGUUGCAUGACAUUUGCUUAAAAGGUGCAAUUGCACCACUACCAGAUGGACCUGCGUUGUAUUAGCUAGUUGGUGGGGUAACGGCUCACCAAGGCGACGAUACAUAGCCGACCUGAGAGGGGGAUCGGCCAACCUGGGACUGAGACACGGCCCAGACUCCUACGGGAGGCAGCAGUAGGGAAUCUUCGGCCAUGGACGGAAGUCUGACCGAGCAACGCCGCGUGAGUGAAGAAGGUUUUCGGAUCGUAAAGCUCUGUUGUAAGAGAAGAACGAGUGUGAGAGUGGAAAGUUCACACUGUGACGGUAUCUUACCAGAAAGGGACGGCUAACUACGUG